CCAUCGUCACUUAUCACACGAAAACGCUCAUAUCUCCCUCUAUAUUACGUGGUUUGGUCAAACCUUCCACACAAAAAACUCUCACGUAGAUGAGACGCAACUGCCCAUAUAAAAAUUUUGAGACAUUUACCUUUCGACAAUAGGGCUCCCAUAGGGAAUAAUAACGGUAAAUAGUAGACACGUUGUGAUUCCGAUGACUAAAAUUUACAAACCAAAAUUCGACCGUCUGAUAUGAUCAUUAUGACGAAAGAUGUCUAUGGUAAAAAAUUAAACUGGAUUUGACAACGUUAAGGGCUCGAUCGAAACGGUCAACUCUAAUCGGAAAUAAGAAAACUGCAUUUUGAAGCCCUAAACGGACUCGGAUGGCCAAAAAGGCCCAUACAUCAUGGCAUUAGCGAUGAGUUUGACUCGUAGGGCCGUUACGCUUCCGGAAAGGUAUCACAAUGGUCAAUCGGACACCAAAAACCAAAUCUGCAGCAUAGUGAAUAAUAAGGGUAAAUUGCAUUGACCGCAACUAUCGGUACCGAGACUUUACCAGAAUACCGUGAUUNNNNN
rnacentral:lncRNA from 1 species